GGGGAUUAGUGGCGAACGGGUGAGUAACACGUGAGUAACCUGCCCUUAACUCUGGGAUAAGCCUGGGAAACUGGGUCUAAUACCGGAUAUGACUCCUCAUCGCAUGGUGGGGGGUGGAAAGCUUUUGUGGUUUUGGAUGGACUCGCGGCCUAUCAGCUUGUUGGUGAGGUAAUGGCUCACCAAGGCGACGACGGGUAGCCGGCCUGAGAGGGUGACCGGCCACACUGGGACUGAGACACGGCCCAGACUCCUACGGGAGGCAGCAGUGGGGAAUAUUGCACAAUGGGCGCAAGCCUGAUGCAGCGACGCCGCGUGAGGGAUGACGGCCUUCGGGUUGUAAACCUCUUUCAGUAGGGAAGAAGCGAAAGUGACGGUACCUGCAGAAGAAGCGCCGGCUAACUACGUGCCAGCAGCCGCGGUAAUACGUAGGGCGCAAGCGUUAUCCGGAAUUAUUGGGCGUAAAGAGCUCGUAGGCGGUUUGUCGCGUCUGCCGUGAAAGUCCGGGGCUCAACUCCGGAUCUGCGGUGGGUACGGGCAGACUAGAGUGAUGUAGGGGAGACUGGAAUUCCUGGUGUAGCGGUGAAAUGCGCAGAUAUCAGGAGGAACACCGAUGGCGAAGGCAGGUCUCUGGGC
rnacentral:rRNA from 1 species